UACGUAGGGCGCAAGCGUUAUCCGGAAUUAUUGGGCGUAAAGAGCUCGUAGGCGGUUUGUCGCGUCUGCCGUGAAAGUCCGGGGCUCAACUCCGGAUCUGCGGUGGGUACGGGCAGACUAGAGUGAUGUAGGGGAGACUGGAAUUCCUGGUGUAGCGGUGAAAUGCGCAGAUAUCAGGAAGAACACCAAUGGCGAAGGCAGCUCUCUGGGACGGUACUGACGCUGAGGCGCGAAAGCGUGGGGAGCAAACAGG
rnacentral:rRNA from 1 species